AUGCUGGCUUUUGGUGUCUUCUACUAUGGUGAUGGGAAUGCUUGUGCACGCAAGCUCUCUAUGUCUGUCCCCUACAAGCGGUGCACACUCGAGUAUGAAGUGGCGCUUCGGCCACGCUCGGUCGAGGCCACCAUCAGUAUCAAGGUCAUUGAUGGGUCAUGGCCAGAGAACCACCAUGGACAAGUCGUUGCCCUCACCUCCGGUGUGGAUGGGAAGGUCAUCCUGCUAGACGGAGAACUGCCCGUCGGUCCGGACGGCGCGAUCGAGCUCUCAAGGCGAGUUGUUUCUGUGGAUUUAAGAGAGAAACUGAUAGUUGCUGUGGAUGCUUCCCUGUCCGGUUUUCCCGCGCAAGCCACCGCCGAAUUCAUGCCGGAGAACUCUGGCAUGAGCGGCCGCAUUUGCGACCUCGGUUCCUGCAAGAUUCAAGUCACCGUUGCUUGGUCCCUCUUUGUUAUUGUUUUGUGA
rnacentral:rRNA from 1 species